rnacentral:pre_miRNA from 1 species
UGACUGCUCCCUCCGUCCAGAAUUACUUGUCGCAUAUAUGAAUAAAAAUGAAUGUAUCUAGAACUAAAAUACAUCUAGGUACAUCUAUUUCUCUGAUGAGUAUUUCUGGGUGGAGGGAGUAUUAA